CCUACGGGCUGCAGCAGUGGGGAAUAUUGCACAAUGGGCGCAAGCCUGAUGCAGCCAUGCCGCGUGUAUGAAGAAGGCCUUCGGGUUGUAAAGUACUUUCAGUGAGGAGGAAGGCAUGAUGCUUAAUACGCAUCGUGAUUGACGUUACUCACAGAAGAAGCACCGGCUAACUCCGUGCCAGCAGCCGCGGUAAUACGGAGGGUGCAAGCGUUAAUCGGAAUUACUGGGCGUAAAGCGCACGCAGGCGGUCUGUUAAGUCAGAUGUGAAAUCCCCGGGCUCAACCCGGGAACUGCAUUUGAAACUGGCAGGCUUGAGUCUCGUAGAGGGGGGUAGAAUUCCAGGUGUAGCGGUGAAAUGCGUAGAGAUCUGGAGGAAUACCGGUGGCGAAGGCGGCCCCCUGGACGAAGACUGACGCUCAGGUGCGAAAGCGUGGGGAGCAAACAGGAUUAGAUACCCGAGUAGUC
rnacentral:rRNA from 1 species